rnacentral:rRNA from 1 species
AGAGCGAACGUUAGCGGCGCGCCUAACACAUGCAAGCGCACGAGAAGAGGGCAACCUCUGAAAGUGGCGCACGGGUGCGUAACACGUAGAUAACCUGCCCUUCGUUGGGGGAUAACGUUCCGAAAGGAGCGCUAAUACCGCGUACAGCAUUCUGGGGGUUUGCUCCGGGAUGGCAAAGGCUGGGAUUCGCAAGAACCAGUCGACGAAGGAGGGGUCUGCGGCCCAUCAGCUAGUUGGUGAGGUAAUGGCUCACCAAGGCAAAGACGGGUAGCUGGUCUGAGAGGAUGAUCAGCCACACUGGUACUGGAACACGGACCAGACUCCUACGGGAGCAGCAGUGGGGAAUCGUUGGUCAAUGGGACGAAAGCCUAGAACCAGCCGACGCCGCGUGGAGUGAUGAA